rnacentral:rRNA from 1 species
CGGGGCCUGCGUUCGAUUAGCUAGUUGGUGGGGUAAUGGCUCACCAAGGCGACGAUCGAUAGGUGGUCUGAGAGGACGAUCACCCAGACUGGGACUGAGACACGGCCCAGACUCCUACGGGAGGCAGCAGUCGGGAAUUUUGCGCAAUGGGGGAAACCCUGACGCAGCAAUACCGCGUGUGGGAUG